rnacentral:tRNA from 2 species
GGGCCGGUAGCUCAGUUGGUAGAGCAAUGGACUUUUAAUCCAUGUGUCGUGAGUUCGAAUCUCACCCGGCUCACCA